CAGCACCUCAAGUGGUCAGGAUGAUUAUUGGGCCUAAAGCAUCCGUAGCCGGCGCUGUAAGUUUUCGGUUAAAUCUGUACGCUCAACGUACAGGCUGCCGGGAAUACUGCAGCGCUAGGGAGUGGGAGAGGUAGACGGUACUCGGUAGGAAGGGGUAAAAUCCUUUGAUCUAUUGAUGACCACCUGUGGCGAAGGCGGUCUACCAGAAAACGUCCGACGGUGAGGGAUGAAAGCUGGGGGAGCAAACCGGAUUAGAUACCCGAGUAGUCC
rnacentral:rRNA from 1 species